ensembl:lncRNA
GUCAUCAGAGUGGAGAACAAACAUCAGCAGCCUGAGAUGGUCCAAGCUCCAUGAUGAGGAUCAUCUUGGUGGUGGAGAGAUGUGGAUCUACAGCUGCAGCUACAUUUUGAUUCCAGUUCUUUUUCCAACUUUUGUAAAAUAUUACAUUCUUUUUUUCAUGAUUCAUGGCAGGGCUGCACAGUGGAUCAGUGGUUAGUACUGUCACCUUGCAGCUAGAAGAUCCCUGGUUCGCAUCCCGGCCUUCCUGGGAUCUUCCUGCAUGGAGUCUCCAUGUUCUCCUGUACAUGUGUGGGUUUUCUCCAGGUUCUCCAGCUUCCUCCCACAGUCCACAAACAUGCUGAGAGGUGCAGGAGUUUAUACUGCCGUGAAAAAUGAGCCCACAUUUGCUGGGAAGAGUCGGUGGAUUCAGCGUGAUGCAGAAAAUCAACAUGCUUCAACAAAGUGUAGCUGCUGACGGAGUUUUUCUCCUCCACUGGUUUGCUUUAAUGAUGUCAACAGUUGCAGUCCUGUUUCCAUUCGCUAACACACAUCUGCAGAGGAAACCAGACUUUUCCACGGCUGUCCAGAGCACAGGUAUUAAACCCGAGCAGCGAAGGGCCUGACGGGGGGCUGCUCACAUCUCCUCCUUCCUUCCUCUGUCCUGCCUGGCAGUGCCGUCGUAGCCAUGCGAGAAGAACCGUCGGUGCAGACAGCAGAUUACUGCCGGGCCAGCAGGUAUCAUCAGCUGACCUGCUGCUGGCCCCGCCUCCUUCAGGAAGAAGACUCUCUCUGUUGACCACAUGGCAGCUGACAAAGUUGAUGACGGCUUUAACUGCAGACGACGGCAGACGAAGAGCAACACAAGAGCUGUCGGGCCUCGAAAUGUGCUGGAGAGCUGUGCAUAGAGAUAAGAGGAAACGAGGAGCCUCUAGGAUGCAGCAGCUGAUGCACCUGCAGUCGGCCUCGCUGCAGCUCGUGUUGCUUUGAAAUGUGGUGAAUCAAAGUGAUGACUGCCAGACUUCACUAAAUACGACCCUCCAUCGCUGUUUCUGCUUCAGAAUGACUCCAGUGUUUAUAUUCUUCUCCUCAUUUGGCUCUCUCCCAUGUGGUGAACACAUUUCCAGACUCUACGUAUGUUAGCUGAUAAAUAGCCUACCGUACUGGACAUGGAGGUGGAAUUAUCUAUCAGUUAUUCUGGUUCAGUUUGACUGAAGCAGAAGAAUGAAAAGCAGUGGUUUAGUUUUUAUGGAGCAUCCAGGCUGAGACUAUUACUCACACUGGGGUGGCACAAUGCCUCCUUAAUGUUUUUCCACUAACCGCUGUGGGCCAAAUAUCCAUUUUUUGGUCCUUUACUCAUUUAAUUUGCUUUUACAGGCAAGACUACCAUUUGGAAGUACAUGGGAACUCAUGUGAGAGGCGUUUCUAUGAAGCUUUCACUUUAUUAAAAAUAUAGAAUGUUUGCUUCAGUUCUACUUUGUAGUUCUUGAUAAGGAUUCUAGGAUGAUAUCACAUUAAGCUGCUUAAGAUAAAUGGAUCUACGACACCAUCUCCAUCCAGGAUUUAGUUUCUUUUGUUUUGG